rnacentral:rRNA from 1 species
CUGCGAAUGGCUCAUUAUAUCAGUUAUAGUUUAUUUGAUGAAGAAUACUAAUUGGAUAACCGUAGUAAUUCUAGAGCUAAUACAUGUAUAAAGUCUUGUAGACUGCAUUUAUUAGAAUGAAAACCAUAGGUUUCGGCCUAUUCGUGAGUAAUAAUAACUAAUCAUAUCGUAUGCUUAUGUAACGAUGUGUCUUUCAAGUUUCUGCCCUAUCAGCUUUCGAUGGUA